CAUGGGGUGCAAACGUUGCUCGGAAUUAUUGGGCGUAAAGCGCGCGUAGGCGGUUACUCAAGUCGGAUGUGAAAGCCCUCGGCUUAACUGAGGAAGUGCACCCGAAACUGAGUAGCUAGAGUACUAAAGAGGGUCGCGGAAUUCCCGGUGUAGAGGUGAAAUUCGUAGAUAUCGGGAGGAACACCGGUGGCGAAGGCGGCGACCUGGGUAGAUACUGACGCUGAGGCGCGAAAGCGUGGGGAGCAAACAGGAUUAGAUACCCUGGUAGUCCACGCCGUAAACGAUGGGUGCUAGAUGUUUCUGGUAUUGACCCCGGAGGCGUCGUAGCUAACGCGUUAAGCACCCCGCCUGGGGAGUACGGCCGCAAGGCUA
rnacentral:rRNA from 1 species